CAUAGGUUAAUGAGGCGAACCGGGGGAACUGAAACAUCUAAGUACCCCGAGGAAAAGAAAUCAACCGAGAUUCCCCCAGUAGCGGCGAGCGAACGGGGAGGAGCCCAGAGCCUGAAUCAGUGUGUGUGUUAGUGGAAGCGUCUGGAAAGGCGCGCGAUACAGGGUGACAGCCCCGUACACAAAAAUGCACAUGCUGUGAGCUCGAUGAGUAGGGCGGGACACGUGGUAUCCUGUCUGAAUAUGGGGGGACCAUCCUCCAAGGCUAAAUACUCCUGACUGACCGAUAGUGAACCAGUACCGUGAGGGAAAGGCGAAAAGAACCCCGGCGAGGGGAGUGAAAAAGAACCUGAAACCGUGUACGUACAAGCAGUGGGAGCCUCUUAAUGGGGUGACUGCGUACCUUUUGUAUAAUGGGUCAGCGACUUAUAUUCUGUAGCAAGGUUAACCGAAUAGGGGAGCCGAAGGGAAACCGAGUCUUAACUGGGCGUUAAGUUGCAGGGUAUAGACCCGAAACCCGGUGAUCUAGCCAUGGGCAGGUUGAAGGUUGGGUAACACUAACUGGAGGACCGAACCGACUAAUGUUGAAAAAUUAGCGGAUGACUUGUGGCUGGGGGUGAAAGGCCAAUCAAACCGGGAGAUAGCUGGUUCUCCCCGAAAGCUAUUUAGGUAGCGCCUCGUGAAUUCAUCUCCGGGGGUAGAGCACUGUUUCGGCAAGGGGGUCAUCCCGACUUACCAACCCGAUGCAAACUGCGAAUACCGGAGAAUGUUAUCACGGGAGACACACGGCGGGUGCUAACGUCCGUCGUGAAGAGGGAAACAACCCAGACCGCCAGCUAAGGUCCCAAAGUCAUGGUUAAGUGGGAAACGAUGUGGGAAGGCCCAGACAGCCAGGAUGUUGGCUUAGAAGCAGCCAUCAUUUAAAGAAAGCGUAAUAGCUCACUGGUCGAGUCGGCCUGCGCGGAAGAUGUAACGGGGCUAAACCAUGCACCGAAGCUGCGGCAGCGACACUAUGUGUUGUUGGGUAGGGGAGCGUUCUGUAAGCCUGUGAAGGUGGCCUGUGAGGGUUGCUGGAGGUAUCAGAAGUGCGAAUGCUGACAUAAGUAACGAUAAAGCGGGUGAAAAGCCCGCUCGCCGGAAGACCAAGGGUUCCUGUCCAACGUUAAUCGGGGCAGGGUGAGUCGACCCCUAAGGCGAGGCCGAAAGGCGUAGUCGAUGGGAAACAGGUUAAUAUUCCUGUACUUGGUGUUACUGCGAAGGGGGGACGGAGAAGGCUAUGUUGGCCGGGCGACGGUUGUCCCGGUUUAAGCGUGUAGGCUGGUUUUCCAGGCAAAUCCGGAAAACCAAGGCUGAGGCGUGAUGA
rnacentral:rRNA from 1 species